rnacentral:rRNA from 1 species
UACGUAGGGGGCUAGCGUUGUCCGGAUUUAUUGGGUUUAAAGGGUGCGUAGGCGGUUCCAUAAGUCAGUGGUGAAAUACGGCAGCUCAACUGUCGAGGUGCCAUUGAUACUGCGGAACUUGAGUACUGAUGAGGUAGGCGGAAUUGACGGUGUAGCGGUGAAAUGCUUAGAUAUCGUCAAGAACACCGAUAGCGAAGGCAGCUUACCAAGCAGUAACUGACGCUGAGGCACGAAAGUGCGGGGAUCAAACAGG